AUAACCCUUUGCUGUCCGACUCUGUUGCCUCCGGGGCGACCCUGCCUCCGGGCGGGGGCCCCGGGUGGACACAUUCAAACUCUUGCGUAACUUUGCAGUCUGAGUAAAUUUAAUUAAUAAAUUAAAACUUUCAACAACGGAUCUCUUGGUUCUGGCAUCGAUGAAGAACGCAGCGAAAUGCGAUAAGUAAUGUGAAUUGCAGAAUUCAGUGAAUCAUCGAAUCUUUGAACGCACAUUGCGCCCCCUGGUAUUCCGGGGGGCAUGCCUGUUCGAGCGUCAUUUCACCACUCAAGCCUCGCUUGGUAUUGGGCGACGCGGUCCGCCGCGCGCCUCAAAUCGACCGGCUGGGUCUUCUGUCCCCUCAGCGUUGUGGAAACUAUUCGCUAAAGGGUGCCACGGGAGGUCACGCCGUAAAACAAGCCCAUUUCUAAGGUUGACCUCGGAUCAGGUAGGGAUACCCGCUGAACUUAAGCAUAUCAAUAA
rnacentral:rRNA from 1 species